rnacentral:misc_RNA from 1 species
CUGAAGUCCAGCAUCAGGAACAGCCUCAAGCUGGUGGCCCAGCCCAAGAAGCUGCUGCUGAGCCCGUAGAGACUGGAGCCAAGCCUGGAAGGGCGAACCAAGGAACUCAGACUGUGGAGCAGCAACCUGUGAUCCAUUCGGUUAACCACAUGUUCUUUUUACUCGCGAAAAUGGUGCCUUUAAAGCAAACUAAGAGCAGGGAAG